CCAGCCUGGGCGACAGAGUGAGACUCCAUAUCAAAAAAAAAAAAGUUUUUGGAGUAAGGAAUAAUAUUCUUUACAAUUUUAAUACCUGGAAAUGCCUUUUUAUUUACGAUAUUUCUUUAGACUGUGAACCUCUCAUAGGAAAGACUCUUCCAUAUUUGUUUUUAUUUACUUAAUGCCCAGCACAUGGUGUUACUCUUACAUGUUUCUGAAAUGCAUGUCAUUGUGGAUUUUGUGUAAUGAAAUGCAUAUGGUUAUUUUAACUGAUCACUCAAGUUGAUUAGACUGCCACAUCCCACGCAAAAAGAGGGUGCUCAGAAAGCCAGUGAUUGGAUAAUAAUUUGAGAAUACUCAAGUUUCUAGUAGUCCUAAUCGGUUGAACCUAAAAAUGCCAUUAACCCUUUCUCAAAGAAGCAGAUUGGAGGUGAGUAGCAGUUGUGUGGCUUUUUGGUAUGCAGCUGUUCACUUUCAAAACUUAAUUUAAAACAAUAAAAAAUAGACCUCGAAAUCAUUUUGUUUCCCUAUUUAUUUAAUGUGAUUUAUUCUAAAUGUGUUUCAUAUCACCAUAAUGUAUCGGAGCUCAACCACCACCUGUUAUUUUGUAGGGGAAAUAAACAAGACCUCUCUCAUCAGAUGAGUUAAUUACACUGACAUAUUCACUCCUCCCCAGAGAUACCAUAAACUAAAAUGCUGCAAAGCUUUAAUUCAAACAAGCAGGCUGGAAACAAGAGCUAUUGCAGUGGUAUAAUUUUCUUUGGGAGAAUCAAAAGCUCAACACAGACUUGAACUUCAGGGGCAAAAUAGCUGGAGUUGAUCAAAUGGAGGCUUGUCUAGGGUCGCAUAAUAAAUCUGUAGGUGAGUUGAGCUUGAACCCAUUUCUCAAUAUUAUGGCACUAUUUUCCAACCUUUGUGCUUCUGAGCAUCAUGUGGUCAUUUUUAAAACUUGUUUCAUCCCGUCAUUUCUCCCUCCUCUCAGGUAUUUGUCUGGGGCUGGCUGUGCACCCAGAAGGCCAUUCGUUCCAUGAAGAACAUGACAGAGGUACCUGGUCCUACCUGGAUUCUUGGGCAUGCGGGCAGCAGCAGCAGCAGCAGCCACAGUGAACUUCAUCCUAAGGAAAUUAAGCACACGUUGCGUGAGGCUGCUGUGGGGGUGCCAGGUGCUGAGGUUUCUGUAGUGGAUAAAACACAAAAAUACCAGCCCUCAUGGUGAAAAUGGAAUGACAAUAAACAAGAUAAAUUAGAUCUAUGCAACAAAACCAAGCCUUUGUGCACAUCUGUGGUUGUGACCAGUUGGAGAGACAUUAGGAGAUGAGAUACUAUGUUCACUCCUCACAGCUGUACCAGGGACCUGAGAUAUUCCGUCACUAUUCUAUGAGAUUUUGGAGAUCCCACCAGUGGUUUUCCGGUGCCAGGGUAUGAGAAGAUAGUCUCCAUGUCCAAACUCACAAUUUCAGAACAAAUUUCAUCAAGAUAAAGGCCUGGGCUGGUGAAUGGUUCCUGCUUUCACUAUUCCAGAUGUCCAGCUCUGUACCUUGCUGCUCUCCUUAAAGCCUGCCUCCCUCUAGAUGGUCUGGCUUGAUGAUAUCCAACCUGACGUGGCCUGAAGAGACAGACAGUGGCUCUUGCUAGCUAAUUAUUGUCAGAUGGAUCGGCAGCCGACCAACGCUUCUGAAACUAUUGUUUUUGGCAAAUGUUCCUCAACAUUUUCCUGGGAGCUAUGGUGCAUUACUCACGAGUGACAGAACCAACGAGCUUCAUCUCCCAAGAGGCUGGUGCAUCUGUUUAAAGGAGCAGGCACUAGGCAGAGCAGCCCCCACCCCACCCUCCAUGGCAGAGUGCAGUGGGGGAAGAAGUUUUCAUAGAAAUGCUUUCUAUAAAGCAUUUUCAUAGAGAAAGCAGGUUCAUAUAGAAAGCACUGGCUGCUGGUUGGAGUGGAGAGAUUGAAGACCCUCAUCUAGGAUCAAGCAACCCCCAGAAAACAAUUUUAAACAUGUCCAUUCAGACAAAAGGAGUCCAAAACCAUAAGAUCCUCUCAGCAUCCUGAACUAAUGUCCAGCUGUUAUCUCGAUGGGGAAACUGAGGCACAGAGAGGUUAGAGAUAUGCCUGAAGCCACACAGCUUGCAAGUGGUGGAUCUGGGAUUUGAACUUGUCGAUCUGGCUGCAGAGCUGAGCUCUUGGAGACUAGGUUUUACUGCCUAGUAGCAUGUAAGCCUGGAACUGCCGGCAGUCAUUUUGUAAGUUUGCCGAGUGAACCUCAAUGAGCAUGAAGCAGAGAGGAAAGCAGUACUAAGAGAUGCAAAAGAGUCUGUGUUCCAGCAAUGGGAUCUGAAGUCCUGGAUCAAACCUUACCUGGAGACAAGAUUUACCCAUCAGACAUGCCAGUUAUAAGACCCAAAUUUACCCUUUUUGGGGGAUUGAGUUUGAAUGAGUAUUUUUGUUUGUUUGUUUUGGCAUCAGAAAGACUCCUGAUUAAUACACAGUGUGACGCUGACCAAGAUGCUUCCUUUCUCUAGGACUCAAUUUUCUUAUCUGUAAAGUAAAGGGUUCAUCAACAUUCUUUGGUUGAAUCUUACCUGAAACAUUUUGUGAGCCUUCACCAAUCUCAUCUAAGCCUUUGUUUCCAUAGAACAAAGCCCUUUAAGAAAGGAGGGGAAAGUGUCAUGGAGUCUUACUGUCCUGAGUGCAAAUAUGGUCUCUGUAUUGUCCUUAUCUGUUCAUUUUCUGCCUCUCAGUACUAGAAUGAAAACUCUGGAAGAAGAAG
rnacentral:lncRNA from 1 species